rnacentral:rRNA from 1 species
UACGAAGGGGGCUAGCGUUGCUCGGAAUCACUGGGCGUAAAGCGCACGUAGGCGGAUUGCUAAGUCAGGGGUGAAAUCCUGGAGCUCAACUCCAGAACUGCCUUUGAUACUGGCGAUCUUGAGUCCGGGAGAGGUGAGUGGAACUGCGAGUGUAGAGGUGAAAUUCGUAGAUAUUCGCAAGAACACCGGUGGCGAAGGCGGCAUCCUGGACCAACACUGACGCUGAGGAGCGAAAGCCAGGGGAGCAAACGGG